UCGUGUUGUAAUAGUAGGAAUUGUGAAGUGAGUAGCUAAUGACUUUAUGGUACCAUCGUGUAUUUCCAUAAAGAUAACAAAAGCUCAGAAACUGAUUGACCUAGAAUGCACUGGCAUAUAAUACGAUGUCAUUUUGUCAGAAACAAUAUUAACUUAUUGCAUCUAAUGGUGAUUGUUCGGCCCGAAAUGAUCGUCAGAGCGUUUCGAAAUGUUUGCUUCUUAGAGUUUCGUAUUUCACCCAGUGUGGGUCGAUCCCAUAAACAUUUGAAUAUUUGUUCACGUAGAAACUAUUGUUUAUAUUGAGAUGUUUGGUGGUAUGUCAUUCAUACGUUUGCAAAGUGGCAUGAAACGAAGCACGUUAACUUGUGUAUAGUGCGUUUAGGUGUCCACGAAAUGUUAAAAGUACAAUUUAAACAACAACCUUUAACAUUACAUAUUGCUUAUUUAUCUAAGUACUUCUUCUAAACAAAUCUUUAACGAUACCUUUUCAUUUAGUAAUGUAUUUUGACUAACACACCGAUUCCUAUUCGGUUUAAUAUUGUUCAAGUGGGCAGAAAACUGUUACGCUCACAAGCUUCAUCCGAAACAGUUAGUAAGGAUUGUCUUUUCACUUGAAGCAAAUCUUCAUUAAAUUUUAGAAGAAUAGUUAACCCAUACACGUCCACGCGGGAGAUUUGACCGCGAUGAUGCAGUAUUUUAUUAAAAAGAGCGUUCUAGUUUCAUUCUUUCUAUAUUAUCACAUUAAUGGAGGUGAGUGAAUGUAGAAUUUUUAGAAGUUGUCAGAUCUUUGCUAUUAGUAACUUGGAUAGCAAGUAUAUUCAAUCAGUUUAAGUGAUGAAACUGAUAUCAAUUUUUGGUUAGUGUACUCGCAAAGUGUAAAUAGAGUGGGAAUUUAAAUAACAAUUUUAAUCACGUUAACUAGAAAGCACUUCAGAUUUUGAGUGAGGUAUAAACUACAGCAAACAAAAUCAAAAGUAAAGUCUUUUUAUUAAUGAAUAAUAUGCUAAGCUGCAUUUGGGAGACAGAGGGGAAGAUUGUCUGCGGAACGAAAAAAGAUUCCAAUGUUUUGCUGGUGAAAAUAAAACUUUAUGUGAAAGACAAGGAUGCUAUUCUUGCCCACACACAGGGAGGCCAAUAUGUAUAGAAGGUUUGAAUUUUAUUGUGUGAAUGUGUCGAUUUCAUUUUUAUGUAUUCAACUCAUGCAAAUUUGCCGACUGUUUAUAAGGUUUAGCAUGUAAAAGAACAUCACUUACCUACGAAGCUGACGAUUGUUGGGACGAAAUACUAGAACCUACAGUAGAAGGAUGCAUGGCUAAAAAAAGGUGCACGUGGUGCAGAACAAACGCUGUUAUCAGAUGUGUGCGAGGUUAGUGAUAAUUGGAGCCAUGGAAGUUAGAGUUUCAGAGACCUUAAAUAUAUCAAGAUCAAUUGCCUUUAACAAUUUGUAGCUUUUACUCAGUCGAAUAUGUCAUCAGGUCAUGGAUGCCAUAAAAUGUAAUCACGAAUUGACUUCAUUAGACUUUAAUGGUACUGAUUUGAAUUAAUGUGAAGCUUUAAACAAUAACAAAACAUUUUCUCAAUUCCAGAUAUACCUUUAUCUUAUGGCGGAGUUCGGCCAGGUAAUUAUCUGACAUUUUUUUUAAAUUUCAAUACUCCUAUUUUGUUUUCAAUCAAAAUUACUUUUUGAUCGUCAAUCGUCACCAGUGGAUAAUUGCAUUCAAACCGCGCCAACAGAAAGAGUUCGAUGCACCGCACCGGGAAAUUUUGAAUUGUGCAGAAAGAAGGGUUGUCACUUCUGUCAAAACGAAAAACCAAAAUGUAUCGAAGCCAAAGAAAAGGGGUCAAGUGUGGUGAGAUAUCUAGGAGAAGUUGAGAAUUUAUAUUGGUCCCUUUUCACUCUGCGAAGAAGUUUUCAAAAAUAAACCCGUCGAAACAAAUAACACAACUCGAAUUUGCGCUGGUUUUUUAGAAGGUGGAAGAGAUGCUUGUUAUGGAGACAGUGGCGGUCCUUUGGUGUGUCAAAAAUGCAAAAGCUGUGGCUGGUACAUUGCUGGUAUAGUCAGCACCGGUGUUGGUUGUGCAAGACCGCUUACUCCUGCACUAUAUACAAAAGUCCAGGCGUAAUAGAAAAGGUCUAAUUGAAAAUGGAGUGCCCGACAAGAGAGAGAGUCAUGAUUGCAAAUUCUACUGAUUGUAUAUUAAUAUGUUUUGUAUGAAAUUGUACGGCAGCUUUUACUAAAAAUCAAAGAACUUACAUUGCAUUUUGAUCAAGUGUAUAUUGGGUCAAUCAGUCUCAAUCUAAGCUGUUCUUGUCUGUAUGAGGAUACGACAUAAUAACAUAAGCGUGACCAUUAGCUACUGAAUUCUAAAUUCAAAUCUACAAAUGUUUCAAAGAAUAACUUUGCUUUUACUAACCUAAAAUACUAUAAAAAAGGCGGCGCAAUGCCCCGCCAAUUGUCCAAGUAGUAAAAAAAAUAUAGUUUUAAAUAGAUCUGAUGAAACGUCUAUUUAUCAUUUUUGUUAUCCGUUUUCGUCUUUAAAAACAGAUUAUGAUCGAUCUACUGGAUUUGGCUUGUCAGCAGUUUUUCAUUCUAAAAGCCUGAUUUACCCCUUUUGUACGCUUCUGCUCAU